rnacentral:misc_RNA from 1 species
UACGUAGGGGCCGAGCGUUGUCCGGAGUUACUGGGCGUAAAGCGCGCGCAGGCGGCCGCGCAAGCCCGGCGUGAAAGCCCCCGGCUCAACCGGGGAGGGUCGUCGGGGACUGCGCGGCUUGAGGGCGGCAGGGGUCGGUGGAAUGCCCGGUGUAGUGGUGAAAUGCGUAGAGAUCGGGCGGAACACCCGUGGCGAAGGCGGCCGACUGGGCCGGCCCUGACGCUGAGGCGCGAAGGCGUGGGGAGCAAACAGG